GCAGCCAAAUAAGACAUCGAGCUAACCAUCCGAUACUUUGAGUCGACCUUUACGACUUGUCACUACAGCAAACUCAGAACAUUCACGGGUGGAAUACUUCACGAGAUGCGUGCCGUGACCUGCAAGAGUACACCUUUAGGAAAAUGGGCGUUGUGUAAUUCAGCAAUGUUGGAUCAAAGCAGAUGAACCUGGCGCCAUGUCAACACCGCGGUAUCCGGGACGAGACUCCGCGUUGAGGCUGCACGACACCCUUCCUGCUAGCAGUGUAUUAUGUACAACACGGGUAGAACGCCAUGAGCGGGGUGUACCCGAUCCGGGUGUUGACUUUGGUAGACAGUUCUCGGAUGACUCUUUAAUUCUAAGAAUAUGUGUUGUUGGUUUAUCUCCGGGAGAAUGACGUCAGAUAUUAACUGUUUUCAAAAUAUGUCUUCUAUUUGAAAUUGACAUUGUCAGUCUGUGGCAGAUUUGCCUUUCUAAUAAAAGCUGUGUGUUUUA